UUCAGGAUUGCAUCGUGUGUCUAUUAGAAUCGUGUGACUAUUCCUUGGGUACAGUAGAGUAUGUAGUCUCCUGUCCCUCCAACAAAUUAGAAGCAGCACAGUCAGCUUUGCGCAAAAAUUGUGAGCACCAUGCAAGACUACAAUCAUGCACAAAUCCGAAAAAUUUCAAAUACCAUUGCGUUAUAAAUGCAAAAGGAGACAAAAAUAUUGAAGUUUGUGCACCUGGAAAGAAGGUUAACGGUUUUUGUACAGAGUUUGACACCGAAGCAGCAAUCAUUCAAGACAACUACCACUUUGAUUGCACAAAUUAUACUUCACCUUGUCCAAGACAGUACAACUCAACAGAGGCCUAUUUAUAUAAAGAAUGCUAUAAAUGCAAUUGGGAAGCCAAAACAACUUCAUCUAACAAUCACUCGACCGAGAAAACUCCGUAAGUAUUAUUUCACACACCCCUCUCAAUUCAUGUAGCUAU